UGUGAAUAGUUUGCCGCUGGAAAUGAUCAGCACUCAGGAGCAGAUUGGUUGCCCCUGAUUUGACACCACUCACCGUUCCAAAUUAUGGCCAGGACCCAGCCGCAUGGUGAGCUGCUGUGAUGACCAGCUAGGUGUCAUGAAAACUGGCCAUCUUUUUUAGUUGUGGUCGACCAUCCAACAUAUCAACGGCUGUGAUGCCGUACAUGCGUUUGGACGGUCAGAUGAUGGGUUAAAUUUAGUUAAAAACUUCAUUCUC
rnacentral:lncRNA from 1 species